AGAUUUCUUGUUUUGUAAUUCGUUUGUGUUACUGCUUUGUUCUAUAAGUGGAAAAUUAUUCAUAUAGCAGUGUGUAGGAGAUUUGGUCCAGACAAAAAUGUUCAGGAGAUUUUAUUCAGACAUCAGUGUUCUUAAGAUUUUGUUGUGACCACAUCUCCACCGCAUCAGAGCAUUGUCGUGUCCGCGUCUUCUCUUCUCGUUGUUUGAUUAUGGUGAGGCUUACACCGAGAUAAUUAAAUCGAGUAGAACGGUCUUCAGUAAGCGAUGAAUUGUACAUCUUGAGCUGGAUCGAGUAUUGCAGUUCGAACAUGAUGAACUGAGCAUUUGGGUCUUCUCAGUUCGAUCGAUGCAAGCUCAAAGCAACUGAGGAUCCGAUUUUUUUUUUUUUUUUGCAAAACUGGUCCCCCUAAUAUUAGCAUUGUUAUAUUCUAACUUAUCCAGAUACUUUACAUUUUAGCUUGUAUUUAAUUUAUAUUUACCGGCUAUUUUGAUCAGUAGAUAGUUGUUACUUUGUAUCAACACGGAUAAACAAAAAAUUAACUCUCUAAUAAAUCACAAAAUAUAUGUUUAGAUUUACAUGUUCGGCUAAACAUAAAAUUAACUCAUUAACAAAUUACAAUACAAAUGAUUAAAAUGGUUGUUUAGCCGGUUAAGAUUUUACUGGACUUUUAUUUGUUAUAGUUAGCCGUAGGGGUGGGCGUUCGGGUACCCGUUCGGGUUCGGGUCGGGUAUUUCGGAUUUUCGGGUAUUUCGGUAUAGAGGUGUAGAACCCGUUCGGGUAUUUCUGUACUUCGGGUCGGGUUCGAGUAUUUUAAGUUCGGUUUCGUUUUUUUCGGAUCGGGUUCGGAUAUUUAGAUUUUGAAGAAAAAAAAAUGAAAAUUUUCAUUUCUCAAAUUUCUUGUACUUAAAUAUAUAUUUUUUCAUUUAACUAUUUU
rnacentral:lncRNA from 1 species